rnacentral:rRNA from 1 species
ACACCUCCUAGCGUGCCUGCAUGCUUUCUCUUUUGGGCUAUCAUGCAUGUAUUGUUGGGAUUUAACAAAACCCCGGCACGGCAUGUGCCAAGGAAAACAAUAAACGAGAAGGACUCGACCUGUUAUGCCCCGUU